rnacentral:rRNA from 1 species
AUACGGAGGAUGCGAGCGUUAUCCGGAUUUAUUGGGUUUAAAGGGUGCGCAGGCGGCCAUUUAAGUCAGCGGUUAAAUCGUGGGGCUCAACCCCAUUCUGCCGUUGAUACUGGGUGGCUUGAUUGCGGUCGAGGUUGGCGGAAUUCGUUGUGUAGCGGUGAAAUGCAUAGAUAUGACGAAGAACACCGAUUGCGUAGGCAGCUGACCAGAUCGCAAAUGACGCUCAUGCACGAAAGUGCGGGGAUCGAACAGGAUUAGAUACCCUGGUAGUCCGCACAGUAAACGAUGAAUACUUGUUUUCGGCGAUAUAAUGUCGGAGGCAAAGCGAAAGCGAUAAGUAUUCCACCUGGGGAGUACGCCGGCAACGGUGAAACUCAAAGGAAUUGACGGGG